rnacentral:rRNA from 1 species
AGAGUUUGAUCAUGGCUCAGGACGAACGCUGGCGGCGUGCUUAACACAUGCAAGUCGAACGGAAAGGCCCUUCGGGGUACUCGAGUGGCGAACGGGUGAGUAACACGUGGGUGAUCUGCCCUGCACUCUGGGAUAAGCCUGGGAAACUGGGUCUAAUACCGGAUAGGACCGCAUGCUUCAUGGUGUGUGGUGCAAAGCUUUUGCGGUGUGGGAUGAGCCCGCGGCCUAUCAGCUUGUUGGUGGGGUAAUGGCCUACCAAGGCGACGACGGGUAGCCGGCCUGAGAGGGUGACCGGCCACACUGGGACUGAGAUACGGCCCAGACUCCUACGGGAGGCAGCAGUGGGGAAUAUUGCACAAUGGGCGCAAGCCUGAUGCAGCGACGCCGCGUGAGGGAUGACGGCCUUCGGGUUGUAAACCUCUUCCAGUAGGGACGAAGCGAAAGUGACGGUACCUACAGAAGAAGGACCGGCCAACUACGUGCCAGCAGCCGCGGUAAUACGUAGGGUCCGAGCGUUGUCCGGAAUUACUGGGCGUAAAGAGCUCGUAGGUGGUUUGUCGCGUUGUUCGUGAAAACUCACAGCUUAACUGUGGGCGUGCGGGCGAUACGGGCAGACUAGAGUACUGCAGGGGAGACUGGAAUUCCUGGUGUAGCGGUGGAAUGCGCAGAUAUCAGGAGGAACACCGGUGGCGAAGGCGGGUCUCUGGGCAGUAACUGACGCUGAGGAGCGAAAGCGUGGGUAGCGAACAGGAUUAGAUACCCCGGUAGUCCAA